rnacentral:rRNA from 1 species
GUAGUCCACGCCGUAAACGUUGGGCGCUAGGUGUGGGGCUCAUUCCACGAGUUCCGUGCCGCAGCUAACGCAUUAAGCGCCCCGCCUGGGGAGUACGGCCGCAAGGCUAAAACUCAAAGGAAUUGACGGGGGCCCGCACAAGCGGCGGAGCAUGUUGCUUAAUUCGAUGCAACGCGAAGAACCUUACCUAGGCUUGACAUGCACGGAAAUCCUCCAGAGAUGGUGGGUCCGUAAGGGCCGUGCACAGGUGGUGCAUGGUUGUCGUCAGCUCGUGUCGUGAGAUGUUGGGUUAAGUCCCGCAACGAGCGCAACCCUCGUUCUAUGUUGCCAGCACGUUAUGGUGGGGACUC